GCGUCUGUAGCUCAGUUGGAUAGAGCAGCGGUUUCCUAAACCGCGUGUCGGCGGUUCAAAUCCGUUCAGGCGCA
rnacentral:tRNA from 1 species